GAUGAACGCUGGCGGCGUGCCUAAUACAUGCAAGUCGAGCGAACGGACGCGAAGCUUGCUCCUCUGAUGUUAGCGGCGGACGGGUGAGUAACACGUGGAUAACCUACCUAUAAGACUGGGAUAACUUCGGGAAACCGGAGCUAAUACCGGAUGAUAUUUUGAACCGCAUGGUUCAAAAGUGAAAGACGGUCUUGCUGUCACUUAUAGAUGGAUCCGCGCUGCAUUAGCUAGUUGGUCAGGUAACGGCUUACCAAGGCAACGAUGCAUAGCCGACCUGAGAGGGUGAUCGGCCACACUGGAACUGAGACACGGUCCAGACUCCUACGGGAGGCAGCAGUAGGGAAUCUUCCGCAAUGGGCGAAAGCCUGACGGAGCAACGCCGCGUGAGUGAUGAAGGUCUUCGGAUCGUAAAACUCUGUUAUUAGGGAAGAACAUAUGUGUAAGUAACUGUGCACAUCUUGACGGUACCUAAUCAGAAAGCCACGGCUAACUACGUG
rnacentral:rRNA from 1 species